rnacentral:rRNA from 1 species
UACGAAGGGGGGCAAGCGUUGUUCGGAAUGACUGGGCGUAAAGGGCGCGUAGGCGGAUGGCACAGUCAGAUGUGAAAUUCCCGGGCUUAACCUGGGGGCUGCAUUUGAUACGUGUGAUCUAGAGUGAGGAAGAGGGUCGUGGAAUUCCCAGUGUAGAGGUGAAAUUCGUAGAUAUUGGGAAGAACACCGGUGGCGAAGGCGGCGACCUGGUCCUUGACUGACGCUGAGGCGCGAAAGCGUGGGGAGCAAACAGG